rnacentral:rRNA from 1 species
UACGUAGGUGGCAAGCGUUGUCCGGAGUUAUUGGGCGUAAAGCGCGCGCAGGCGGUGCGGUAAGUCUCUGGUGAAAGCGCUCGGCUUAACUGGGCGAGGGCCGGGGAGACUGCCACGCUGGAGGGGAGCAGAGGCGAGUGGAAUUCCGGGUGUAGUGGUGAAAUGCGUAGAGAUCCGGAGGAACACCAGUGGCGAAGGCGGGUCUCUGGGCCGAUACUGACGCUGAGGAGCGAAAGCGUGGGGAGCGAACAGG